UGGUUCUAGCAUCGAUGAAGAACGCAGCGAAAUGCGAUAAGUAAUGUGAAUUGCAGAAUUCAGUGAAUCAUCGAAUCUUUGAACGCACAUUGCGCCCCUCGGUAUUCCGACGGGCAUGCCUGUUCGAGCGUCAUCAAACACAACCGAGCACCGCUCUGUGUUGGGACCGGCCGUCUGGCCCUCCUGUAACCAGUCGGCGGAUCGUCCGGCCCUAGGCGUAGCAGAAACUAUCGCCUCGGGAGCCGUGAGCGGUCUGGCCGGUAGACUCUCCAGCGGUUUGACCUCGGAUCAGGUAGGGAUACCCGCUGA
rnacentral:misc_RNA from 1 species